UACGUAGGGUGCAAGCGUUGUCCGGAAUUACUGGGCGUAAAGAGCGCGCAGGCGGUCGUUCAAGUCGAGUGUGAAAGCCCCCGGCUCAACUGGGGAGGGUCAUUCGAUACUGAUCGACUCGAAGGCAGGAGAGGGAAGUGGAAUUCCCGGUGUAGUGGUGAAAUGCGUAGAUAUCGGGAGGAACACCAGUGGCGAAGGCGACUUCCUGGCCUGUUCUUGACGCUGAGGCGCGAAAGCCAGGGGAGCAAACGGG
rnacentral:rRNA from 1 species